rnacentral:lncRNA from 1 species
GUGUAUCUAAAUAUAUUUUAUUUUCUCUUUAAAGAGAAAUUGGUUACAAAAUUUCACUGAAACAAAACACAAAUGAGUGAAUAAUCAAAAUCAGUAUAUAGAUUUAUGCAAUCAGAAUAGCUCUUGUUUCAUCAAAUGUCAAACUUUUAGUUUUGUGAUCUGAUUUUGCCUCUGCCAAAUUGUCAAUCUCGUUAAGAAAAUACAUUUGAGCUGCCUUGGAUAAAAAAAGAACUUAUGCAAAGAAAUGUCAAUACAUCUAUUUAAUUAUUUUAGUUGAAAAAAUCCCUUUGCAAAAUCAAUGACUAUUUGAAAUAGAGUUGAAAUAAGAAACUUAAAAUCAGACCAAAACUCAUAUUUUAUUUUGUAUUUGAAUGUUUCAACAUUAAUAAAGUUGUAUACAUGUACAUGCACUUCCAUAAGGUCGAUUUAUAUCCAAUGUUUCAACAUUAAUAAAGUUGUAUACAUGUACAUGCACUUCCAUAAGGUCGAUUUAUAUCCAAUGUUUCAACAUUAAUAAAAUUGUACAUGCACUUCCAUAAGGUCGAUUUAUAUCCAAUGUUUCAACAUUAAUAAAGUUGUAUACAUGUACAUGCACUUCCAUAAGGUCGAUUUAUAUCCAAUGCAGCUCAUUCAUUAUAGGAUACAGAAUCUUCAUUGAAUAAACUGUUUGAGAUCAAAAUAAUCAUUCAAACAAAUCAUCAAUUCAUCAAAUUGAUAAAAGAAGCUUCCUUUAAUUUUUGUUACAGAAUUAUAACAGACACAUUUUUUACUGUAAAGAUAAAUCUUUUAAAGAUUUUCCAUCCCAAAUAAAAAGUGACAAUUGCCUAUGCUAUUUUUUUAACAUCAUCAUAGUUCUAUAAUUUAAAAAAUCAGACAACAAUUUCAUAAUCAAGGGGAAGCAAAUCUUGUCAUUUUGACCUUGUCCUACGAUUUUAUGACAAUUGAUGGAAAAUUAUGUUUGGUGGUCAUUUUAUUUUCUAUUAAAAAUGUUCCAUCAUUAAAAAAAUUCAGUGAACAAAAAUAAGAAGGAAAUAAAUUAUCAAGUCUUCCUAAAAAAAAAAUUUCUUUUGGUCAAUUUAUUUUCCAUUUAAAAAAAUGAGAUAAAUUUAAAUAAUAGAACACAUUUAUAGAUAUAUAUCAUGAUGCAACUUUAAAACAUUUAAUUAAAAUAAAAAUAGUUUCAAAAAAGGAACUUAACUUUCCUUUCCUAUAUCUGAUCUUUUACACCCAUAUUUAUCGCAAUAGAAUAAAUGAAAAAUCACUUGCAAAAUAAGAUCAGUAGGCUGAGAGAUAAUAAUGUUUGAACAAUAAGUUAUAAUUAUGUAUGCAGAAAAAAAAUCGUUUGCUCAUUAAAACAAAUAAUAUGGCCUGAAUAUAUCUGGUUUUGUAUUCAACUACAAAGUGACUAACAUAAUAUACAAAAUUUACAAUGUUUACUUCAGGUUCAACAUCUCAUUGCACAACCCAGUAGGUUUUGGCACAAACAACAAAUAAUACAACAAAUUAAUUAUAUGGGAAGAACAAACUUUGUUUCCAUUUGAGAUCUGUACAUACAAUCAUGAAUGGGGAAAAAAACAAAUAAUAUUGAGUGUGAAAACAGGUAUAUAAUCCUAUCCUUGUUAAGAUAGAGUAAGACCAUCAUUUAGACACAAUAUAAGAAAGUGAUGUGAAUGUAGGUGCUACACAAAAAAGCUGGUAUCACUAUGGUAGAGUAAUGUAAAAUAAUCAGACAAAUUAAUUUGAUAGAUUUGAGCAUGAGAUAAUGAGAAUUUUAACUUUUUAAAAUAAUUUCUUAUUUUGCUUUUACCUUCAUUCCUUGCAGUUUUUCAAUAAAACAAUAAAAUAAUGGUAAUAACUCACUGAUUUGUGGCCUUGAUGGCUAACUAUUGUGGAUUUGUGAUUUUAAUAGCUGUUUAUUAUGUAUUUGUGGCUUCAGUGACAGCAUAUCAUGGAAUUGUGGCUUUAGUGGCCGUCUUUUAUGGAUUAGUUGCUUUUAUUUUACUUCCUGUUAUGAAUUUACGGCUUCAGUGGUGGCCUGUUAUGGAUUAGUGGCUUAAGUGGCUGUCUUUUAUAGAUUAAUGGUUUGAGUAGCUGAAUAUUAUGGAUUUGUGGCUUAAGCAGCUGUGUAUUAUAGAUUUAUGGCUUGAGUAGCUGUAUAUUGUGGAUUUUUGGCUGAUGGGGAUGCCAUAUAUGGAUUUGUGGCUUAAGGAGCUGCCAUAUAUGGAUUUGUAGCUUAAGGGGCUGCCUUAUAUGGAUUUGUGGCUUUAAUGGUUGCCUAUUAUGGAUUUUUGGCUUUAAUGACAGUCUAUCAUGGAUUUGCGGCUUUUGUGGCUGCCUUUUAUGGAUUUGUGCCUUAAGUGAAACCUAUUAUGGAUUUGUGGCUUAAGUGGGUGCUUUUUUAGGGGUUUCUGACCUAAGUGACAGAGAGACGAAAGAGAGUAUUGUAGAUAGAGCAACUCUAGAUAAAUAAAGAAUAGUGUUUUAGGUUGUUAAAAAUCCACUCAAAAUAUCAAUAAAACAGUAUUUUUAUUUUAGCAUUCAUAAAUCAUGAUUUUUUUUAUAUUUUGAUUUUUUUUAAAUUAACUUCUUUCCUUGCAAAAAAAAUAAAUUCUUAGUAAAAAAAAUUUGAUAAACAUAUCAAAUAUAAAUAAAUACUAUGAGAUAAAAAUAAACUGAUGGUCCAAUGGUCCAAUGGUUAUUAUUCUACCAUAUACAAAUCAAAAUGAAAGAAACUAUGUUGAUAUCAAUUUUUAUCUUCAACCCAAAUAACAUUUUAUAAUCUGCUUACACAGAAUAAUACAUUUUAGACAAUUUAUGUAUUUCUGUUGGAAAGACAGAAUACCAACAAGAAUGAAAAAAAAAUAUAUGCUAAAUAAAAAUAAAAAUCAUG